ensembl:lncRNA
UAUUGUGUGUGCUGAGGGAAGAGGGCUGCACGUGGUUUCAAUUUUGAAGCACAAAGAAAUAACAGGCAAUGCAGAAAAUAGGUUUAUGAAUGUAAUUGAGAGGAAAGAAAACAAUUAACACGGUGCAAGGUUGCACACUCGGUUGGCCACACCUCACCUUCUCCUCUACCCCAAUUUUGAGCAAUCCGGGAUCAUGGGAAUAGAGUGGAUCCAGGCAGUUGGAGCCAGCUGACAAGGCAACCCCUGAAGGAGAUCACAGUGAUGGGUGGAUAAUGUGUCUAUCCAUCUCCUAGUCGGCUGAGGCCUCCUCCAACCCAGCUGAGAGAAAGAGAUCAAAUCCCCAAGCCCAAGGUAUAAAAGAGCCCCAGUAGUGAAGGUGGAAAGGAGAAAGGGGUGUCUGUAACCGAGAGGAGGGAGGAAGAGAGAGAGAUAGCCAGGGAUUUCUUUAAGACAGACCAGGCUGGUCUCCGCAAGCUAUCCUAUUGUGUUGAUUUAGGAAGACAUUUGCUGUAUAUAACGUUUAACGCUGAUAAUAUCAUUGCACAGCCAGAUAAAUAAAGCGUUGGCCCAACAGUGGGGUCAGCGAUCGAUCUCUAGGCUCAGAGGAAAAAGGAGAGAGACAGGGUCGUGCACGAGCCUCUGUGUGCUUGUCGGCAUGCAUGAGCCUGAGUGUGUGUGAGCGUGAGGGUGUGCGAGAGAGAACCGAGUCUUCAGCUGGCCAAGAGGCUCAUUAGCAUUCCUAACCCAUGGACCUGCGCUGACAACUAACAGAGAUAUCCCGCUCACCACCAGGCCUCCUCUCCUUUUGUCUUCAGAUCUGAAGGAGAAAAAGAUUUCUCCGUGGAAGCUGGAGCCUGAACUUACAUUUGGUUGUUGGAGAUUCUGGGUAUUAAAAUAAAAGAAAAGAAAAGAUCCUAGGAUCUCGCCUGAUCUUUUACUCUGCUUUUAGAAACUUUCAUCCCCAAGAAGGAAACUUUUUUGCUGUAAUAGGCUUGUUGAAACUCCAAGAUUAAAUGAGACAGAAAAUCCUCUGAAAAAUAUUUUGCCUUUUCUCCUUGUUGACACACAGAGAGGUGGAUGUUUAUACGUUUGGCUCACAGACACAUGUAAAGCUGGUACUUGUAGUUAAAAGAUUUCUAGACUAUAGCAACCAGGGGUUGUUUGAGCUUUUUGUUUCUCUUCUUUCUUCAGCUUGCUUUUGUUUUUUGUUGUUGUUGUUAUGAAAUUCAUUUUAUUUUCUAUAAUAAAUACCCUGCUUAUUACUUUAUUGCUCUUCGUUGUUUAAAUGAACUUCUUUCAAGAUUAAAUUAGAUCUAGUUUUUGUACUAUCAGAAAUAAGCAAUUUUAGAGGUCUCCACUAUUUUAAGAAACAUUUAAAAAUAAUAUUCAUUCAAGCAAUUUUAAUCACCUUACACCUAUUUGGGAGAAAAGUGUGUUUUCACCAUAUUUCACAGGGAUAAAUAUGUAUCCACUUUGCUUUCCUAGAUCCUCUGCCUUGAACCACCAUCAAAGGAGGCAGAUAGUGUACAAAUUAUCCCAUGUUGACAGAUGUUUGUCACUUAGUAACUUCUUUCCAAGUUUUUUUCCCCUCCCCUAAGCCUUCUUUCCAGCAUGCUUUGUUGUUUUAAAAUAUGCAUGUCUCUCACUGGAAUGCCAGUCACGAGUGCAAACUUUGUGUCCAACCUCCCACAUGAAAUGAUCCUUUUAGAGGGAACUCGAUAUGUCUCAAUCUGCACUUCACUCAAAGCCUCUGAGUACCGGCCACUCACUCACUGGUCCUGGCUCCAAAGUAACUCAGCAGAAACAAGUUUCCUACUAAAAAAUCCCCUCGAAUGUCUCCCAGGGAAGAAACAUAGCUCCUAUAAUUAAAGGAGGCAACGGCCAGAGGGGGAAUGCAGCCGGCAGCCAAAAAAAAAUUACUCUCUUCUACUGAUGUGAAGUGACGUCAGCAAGGCCUGUCCUAUCCCCUUGGAGAGAAGGGAGUGAGGAGGAGGGGAUGGAAGGAGGGAGCUGGGAGAAAGAGCUAAAGAAAAAGAGAAAAAGCAAACCGGAGGAAGAGAGGACCGCACGGGAAUGAGUCUUCUACACUCGGGGGGCCCCAGUUCCACCAACAGUGGGCAAAACAAUGCUUGCGAAGCCGGGGUUGGUAGAACACCUUUCUCUCCUCUACCGCGAUCUACAUAUUCUAACAUAUGGAAAGCUUACAGGCCCUGUGCACUUAUAGAAGCCGAUAAUGCAUUAGCUCUCAGCAAUAUUUACAGCACCACUUUUAAUACACACCAGAUGGUUCGCGACUGUGCCGCCCCAGCCAGCUCACUCCUCGAUUUUACUCGGCGGCACUUUGUUGCAAUUACGCUCCAUGCUGAGACCAAUUUUAUUGGUGACCUAUUUUUCAUAUUUUGUAGCAUUUUAUGUUAAAAAAAAAAAAAACACCUCCUCUCUGGCCUUUUUGUAAAGGGCAGCGCGCAGGAAGGGAGAGCUUAGGAGGACGGCGGGACUGUCUAGGUGGAUAUUAAUAUUUAUCAUGAUGUUCCAUACCUCGGGUUUAAGUGAGUCAACCGGAUAGACAUAAGUACUCCGGUCAUUAUGUUUGUUCACUCACCCCCCUGUUUGUCAGACCCCCACGGACUGUCUACACGGCGCGCUUGCCUCCGAGUCAAUACAUCCGACCAUAAAUAUUGUAUUCCAUUAAUUAUCACGCCACUGGCUGAUCCCGGGCGCCGGCGUCCUCGAGCGACGCAGGGCAAAUGAGGACGCUUCCUGAGCAGAUUUCUAGGCUGGGAACCCGCGGAAAUUGCCGCAGAGCCUGGGAAUUCCUAGAGCCCGAGCGCCCGGCUCGACUCGGGCUGGGCCCAGACCGGCUGCCUGGGGAGGGAGGCGGCUGCGGAGGCCCGACGCCGCCAGGAGCGCUCGGUACCUGUUAUCUUGCCACGCAGAAGGCCACAGGGAGAAUCCCAUUUGGCACACCGGGAAAGGCUUUCAACUUUAUCUCCUGUCAUGUAAAUAUCCCCGAGUGCCCGACUGUGGACUUUGUUUUGCCCCGAACAAUAUAAAUAUCCUAUUUGCUACCACGCAGGUGUGCGCUUCCUAGUCGAACUCUCUCUCUCUUUUUUUCUCCCUCGUUUAUAGUAACUCUAUAUACCCACCCCAUCCCCUGUUUUAAAGAAGAAGAAAAAAAAUCACAGAUGUUUACUUUAUGGAUAUAACCUAUACCAUGGUUAGGCUGAGAAUAAUAUGCCUCAACUCACAGUCAUUUAGCAAAUAAUAGAGGCGUUCUGGAUGCUUUCCAACGUUACACAUGUACUUGGUCAUAAAAUGAUACGUGAAAAAAUUAACAUCUGCUUUCCUAAAAUAAAGUGUGCCAAGUAGCUUUUUAUGAAUGCGUUCCUCAUUUUAAAAAGAAAUAUGGAGAGAUAAACUGGCACCCAGAUGUAUAGCAUAUUUAUAAUGGUUUUCGGAUUUAAAGGUAGUGUAUUCAUUGCACAAGGCAUUUUAAAACUGAUGGUUUAAAAAGCUACUUAACCCCAGACAUCUUCGCAUCCUGAAGAGUCUUUCACAUUUUAUUAUUUAAAGAGGAAUUUGUCAUUGUGUAUCAAGGCAGAACUACGGCAAGUCCGGGCACUGCAGCCUGAACUCAACAGAAAUUCCAACUCGCCUUUUAUUUACCUAAUUUCUCAGCAAGGUUCCCAGGCCCUUAAGAAGGCAGAGCUGGAAAGUUUAGUUGGGCUCUUUUUUGUUGUUGUUUAAUUCCACUAUUAGGAAAUGAGGCCUACCUUUGAAUUAUUUCAUUAGGGUUUGGCCUUUUGGGGGAAGGGGUGGGAACCAUAAUCAUUAGUGGCUUUUUAUUAUUUCUACAAUAAAUGGCUAGAUUCUUUGUUGAAUAAGCUGCUUGAAUGUUUUGCAGAUGUUCCACUUAGACCAAAUCUGACCCCCUAUUUCCUCCCAAAUAAGUCGCUUAAACUCUCCCACUGCUCGGGAGCAUACUCCCCCAUCCUGGCAACUUUAUAAGUGCGGGGCAUAUUCUUAUGAAAUUUCCACCUAACUGCACACACACAUACAUUUACACACACACGCACUCCCACCCACUGAGCCUCUGAGCGUGGCAGAGGGUAAGAGAAGAUAAAAAAGAGAGAGAGAGAAACUGGUGGGGCGGAAUGGGGUGGAGGAGGGAAGUCAGUACAGUGGUUACACCCUGCGCAGAGCGCGCCCGCCCUGGGCCCCUCACCCCUUCUUUGUGCCUCGGGUUUGAAACAUGGGGGGUGGCCCCGGUCCGCGGGCCCCAAAGUGCCAGGAAUCUUGAUCUGCCCGGCGCCUGGGGCGUCGGCCUGGGGCCGGCCCCGCGGUCACCCUCCGCCACCCCACCCCGAGCAUCCUUCCCGUGGCGGCCGCGCGUGGGUACCCGG